UCAGGACCGCCGCGCGCGAGCGGCCGCCAUUCCGCAGCCAACCGCCAUCACCGUGGCAAGGCCGGCAGGACGCGCAAUGCUGCCUGUCCUGCUGAUCCUCUCAGGCCUGGGCCGGCUGACCUCCGCCGGCCGUCGUGAGUGUAGGACCUGCUCCGUAGAGGGUCACCUGUCGCAGAGCCUGUGAGCGUGGCGGGCUCCAGAAGCUUGCUCCAGAACCCUGUGCCCGGCUGGGGGGAGCCCUGCGUCCUGUCAGAGCCCGCCUAGAGUCAGGAUCCUGCGGGGCCUGCUGCUGGGAAGGCUCAGAACAGGACUGGGACAGUUGUCCUCACGUGCCUGACCCUGCACUUGGAGGAGGGGGCGAGCAGCUUCUGGGAGGUGGGGCCUCCAGAGCAGCUCUUCUUCACCUAUUGGGGCUGAGAUCCUGAAACAUCACUUCUACAAAUUACAGUGCCAUGGAAGACUGGGGCAAACACUGAUGAUGGCAAAGUUUCUUAAAUAUUUCAAAGAAGGAAAGGAGAUUCAGAAGUGAAAAAUGACUCACAUGGGGCUGCUUGAUAGGUGCCAGAGUUGAGAUUCAAACACGCUCCAUUUGGCUCCACAACCUGAGCUUUUUGCGGUACAGUGCACUGUUCCCUACCUUUUUUAUCCUCUGCUCCUCUCUGUAUGAGAGCUGAAAUAAUAAGGCAGAGUGUCAUCUGUUCAACUUCAGAUGAAAAUGUGAACCUUGGUGCGACUGAUUUUUUUUUUUUUACCUUGAGCAUGAAUUCAAAUGACCAAGAGAGAUCUAUAAAUAUUGAUUUGGGGUUAUAAACCCUAGCAAGUAGGCAAAUUUACAAAUAUGGAAUACUUGAGUAAUGAUUAUUUUGUGACAUGAUUUUUAAAUAAAUAUAAAAUGAAUAAGGUUUAAAAGGUAAACUACAAACCAGCUAUUUUUUUUUUUUUUUGCAGAUUAUAUGUUUAGGUUGAAAGCCUGAGAUAGUUUAUAUGCAAAUUUUUAGUAUUAAUUAGAAAGGUUAGCAAAAGAUAUCUGGGCACUGAAACAGAGAAGUAUGUAAAAUACUGGUGAAAAAGUUGAAAUGUGUUAAAGGGAGUGAUGCUUCCAAAUCUCCAUCACUUAGUAGCUAUGUAUCAAAAUAAAGCUAACAUCUCUCUUUAGUUCCCUUAUUAUAAAAUGAGCAAAGUAGAACCAUGCCUACCCUAUCAGUAUAUUGUGAGUCUUUAAUGUUUAGCUAUAAUGCAAAGAACUUAUUUUUUAUAUAUUUCUGUUAUAACCAGUAAGGUGCAGGUGUAUUACAUUGUUGAAAUGCAGAUUUUGGUCUUGAGUAAUGAUACAUGGUGAAACCAUUAUAUGAUAUCCAGAAUGUAGAAGGAAAACUAUACAUUUUUAUUCUCAAACAAUAGGAUAAAGGAAGGAUACUAAAAAUAUGUUAUUGGUUUGUUUCCUAUAGAGUUAGUAGCAGAUGUAGCUAUGAAAUGAAUCAUGGAGUUCGGUAAACAAAAGCAAUCAAUGCAGCACACCACAGUAACAGAAUAAAGGAAAAGAACCACGUGAUCAUGUCAAAAAAGCAUUUGACAAAAUGCACACCAAUUCAUGACAAAAACAAUAUGUAGGUACAGAAGGAAACUACCUUAAAAUAAUAAAAGACAUAUGAAAACCUGUAGCUAACAUCAUUCUCAAAAGUAAGAGACUAAAAUCCUCCAAAAUCAGGAAGAAGGCAAAGAUGCCCAUUUUGCCACUUCUUUUCAAUAAAGUACUGGAAGUUCUAGACAGAAUAGGCAAGAAAAAGAAAUGAGAUAUCCAAAUUACAAAGAAAAAUUUUCUCUGUCCAAAGAUAAUACCAUCUUAUACAUACAAAUCCUAAAGAUGCCCCCCAAAAUUGUUAGACCUAAUAAAUUUCAGCAAAAAAAAAAUCUCAGCAAAAUUUCAGCAGGAUACAAAAUCAACACCCAACACAUCAGCUACAUUUCUAUAUACAUAACAAUGACGAAUCCAAAAAGAAAACAGUUCUAUUUACAAUAGCAUAAAAAAUAAUGAAAUACUUAUGUAUAAACAACCAAAGAGGUCAAAGAAGAUUAAAACUAUAAGACAUUGCUUAAAGAAGUUAAGAUUAGACAUCUUUGUUCAUGGAUUGAUUGACAAGAUGCAAAUACUACCCACAGAAGUCUACAGAUUCAAUGGAAUUUCUAUCAAAAUCAAAGUGAUAUUUUUGGAGAAAUAGGAAAACAUAUCCUAAAAUUCAUGUGGAAUUUCAGUGGAUCCCAAAUAGCCAAAAAAAAUCUUGAAAAAAGAUGAGAAAAGUUGGAGAACUCACACAUCCUGAUUUCAAAACUAUUUACAAAUCCACAAAAAUAAAAAAUAGUAUUGACAGACAUGUGGACGAAUGGAUGAAAAUAGAGUAUAGAUAUAAACUCUCACAUAUAUGAUCAAAUUCUUGAGAAAGUGGCAAGACCAUUCAGUGAGGAAAGGACAAUCUUUUUUCUUUAAUAUGAAAUGUAUUGUCAAAUUGGUUUCCAUACAACACCCAGUGCUCAUUCCAACAGGUGCCCUCCUCAAUGCCCA